AUUAUGGGACAAUGGGGGCAACGCUGAGCCAGCCAUGCCGCGUGUGUGAAGACGGUAUCCUGAUUUUAAAGUACUUUAAGGUGGGAGGUAGGGCUUUAGUGUACUAUCUUGCUGGUUUGACGGUAUCGACGGAAUAAGCACCGGCCAACUUCGCGCCAGCAGCCUCGGUAAUACGAAGGGUGCAAGCGUUAAUCGGAAUUACUGGGCGUAAAGCGCGCGUAGGUGGUUUGUUAAGUUGGCAGUGAAAGCCCCGGGGUCAACCUGGGAACUGCUUUCAAAACUGGCAAGCUGGAGUCUGGCAAAGGGUGGUGGAAUUUCCUGUGUAGCGGUGAAAUGCGUAGAUAUAGGAAGGACCACCAGUGGCGAAGGCGACCACCCGGGCUAAUACUGACACUGAGGUGCGAAAGCGUGGAGAGCAAAC
rnacentral:rRNA from 1 species